rnacentral:piRNA from 1 species
UGGUAACAGUGUGCAAAGCUCUAGGGUGU